rnacentral:rRNA from 1 species
AUACGGAGGAUGCGAGCGUUAUCCGGAUUUAUUGGGUUUAAAGGGAGCGUAGGCGGGAGCUUAAGUCAGCGGUUAAAUGGUGCGGCUCAACCGUGCCCUGCCGUUGAAACUGGGUUUCUUGAGAGUGCAAGAGGCGGCUGGAAUUCAUGGUGUAGCGGUGAAAUGCUUAGAUAUCAUGAAGAACUCCGGUUGCGAAGGCAGUCCGCUGGGGCACGUCUGACGCUGAUGCUCGAAGGUGCGGGAAUCAAACAGGAUUAGAUACCCUGGUAGUCCGCACGGUAAACGAUGAUUACCCGCUGUCGGCGGCAGACAGUCGGCGGCCAAGCGAAAGCGAUAAGUAAUCCACCUGGGGAGUACGCCGGCAACGGUGAAACUCAAAUGAAUGGACGGGG